GACGAACGCUGGCGGCGUGCCUAAUACAUGCAAGUCGAACGAACAGGUCAUGCUUUUGCUCCUCUCACGUUAGCGGCGGACGGGUGAGUAACACGAGUAUAAUCUACCUAUAAGACUGUGAUAACUUCGGGAAACCGGAGCUAAUACCGUAUAAUCUCUUGAACCGUAGUGUUGAAUAGUGAAAGUCGGUUUUGGUGUCUGUAAUAGAUGGUUCCCAGCUGGAUUGGCUGGUUGGUAAGGUAAAGGCUUAGCAAGGCAACGAUGCGUAGCCGACCUGAGAGGGUGAUAGGCCACACUAGAGCUGAGCCACGGUCCAGACUCCUACGGGAGGCAGCAGUAGGGAAUCUGACGCAAUGGGCGAAAGCCUGACGCAGCAACGCCGCGUGAGUGAUGAAGGUCUUCGGUUCGUAAAACUCUGUUAUUAGGGAAGAACAAAUGUGUAAGUAACUAUGCACGUCUUGACGGUACCUAAUCAGAAAGCCACGGCUAACUACGUG
rnacentral:rRNA from 1 species